AUUGAACGCUGGCGGCAGGCCUAACACAUGCAAGUCGAACGAGUGGCGGACGGGUGAGUAAUGUCUGGGAAACUGCCUGAUGGAGGGGGAUCAACACUGGAAACGGUAGAUAAUACCGCAUACCAUCGGAUGUGCCCAGAUGGGAUUGGCUAGUAGGUGGGGUAAAGGCUCACCUAGGCGACGAUCCCUAGCUGGUCUGAGAGGAUGACCAGCCACACUGGAACUGAUACACGGUCCAGACUCCUACGGGAUGCAGCAGUGGGGAAUAUUGCACAAUGGGCGCAAGCCUGAUGCAGCCAUGCCGCGUGUAUGAAGAAGGCCUUCGGGUUGUAAAGUACUUUCAGCGGGGAGGCGUUACCCGCAGAAGAAGCACCGGCUAACUCCGUGCCAGCAGCCGCGGUAAUUC
rnacentral:rRNA from 1 species